AACGAACGCUGGCGGCAUGCCUAACACAUGCAAGUCGAACGAGACCUUCGGGUCUAGCGGCGCACGGGUGCGUAACGCGUGGGAACCUGCCCUUAGGUUCGGCAUAACUCCCCGAAAGGGGUGCUAAUACCGGAUAAUGUCUUCGGACCAAAGAUUUAUCGCCUUUGGAUGGGCCCGCGUUGGAUUAGCUAGUUGGUAGGGUAAAAGCCUACCAAGGCGACGAUCCAUAGCUGGUCUGAGAGGAUGAUCAGCCACACUGGGACUGAGACACGGCCCAGACUCCUACGGGAGGCAGCAGUGGGGAAUAUUGGACAAUGGGCGAAAGCCUGAUCCAGCAAUGCCGCGUGAGUGAUGAAGGCCUUAGGGUUGUAAAGCUCUUUUACCCGGGAUGAUAAUGACAGUACCGGGAGAAUAAGCUCCGGCUAACUCCGUG
rnacentral:rRNA from 1 species